GAUGGGCAUGGUGGUGCACACCUAUAAUCCCAGCAACGGGAGGCUGAGGCAGGAGGAUAACUUGUGAUCCAACCUCAGCAACUGAGUGAGACCCUGUCUCAA
rnacentral:sRNA from 1 species